UCCGAGUUGACCCCGGCGGUCUCCUGUGAGUCCCCGGCGUUAUCCGCUGGCAACAUAGGACAAGGGUUGCGCUCGUUGCGGGACUUAACCCAACAUCUCACGACACGAGCUGACGACAGCCAUGCACCACCUGUGCAAGGCCCCGAAGGACACCGUAUCUCUACGGCUUUUCCCUGCAUGUCAAGCCCAGGUAAGGUUCUUCGCGUCGCAUCGAAUUAAGCAACACGCUCCGCUGCUUGUGCGGGGCCCCGUCAAUUCCUUUGAGUUUUAGCCUUGCGGCCGUACUCCCCAGGCGGGGUACUUAAUGCGUUAGCUUCGGCACGGAAUCCGUUGAUAAGACCCCACACCUAGUACCCAACGUUUACGGCGUGGACUAC
rnacentral:misc_RNA from 1 species